UACGUAGGGUGCAAGCGUUGUCCGGAAUUAUUGGGCGUAAAGAGCUCGUAGGCGGCUCAGCAAGUCAGGGGUGAAAUCCCGGGGCUCAACCCCGGAACUGCCCUUGAAACUGCUAAGCUAGAAUCUUGGAGAGGCGAGUGGAAUUCCGAGUGUAGAGGUGAAAUUCGUAGAUAUUCGGAAGAACACCAGUGGCGAAGGCGACUCGCUGGACAAGUAUUGACGCUGAGGUGCGAAAGCGUGGGGAGCAAACAGG
rnacentral:rRNA from 1 species